rnacentral:rRNA from 1 species
UUCUGAGAGGAAGGUCCCCCACAUUGGAACUGAGACACGGUCCAAACUCCUACGGGAGGCAGCAGUGAGGAAUAUUGGUCAAUGGGCGAGAGCCUGAACCAGCCAAGUAGCGUGCAGGAUGACGGCCCUAUGGGUUGUAAACUGCUUUUAUAGGGGAAUAAAGUGAGCCACGUGUGGUUUUUUGCAUGUACCCUAUGAAUAAGGACCGGCUAAUUCCGUGCCAGCAGCCGCGGUAAUACGGAAGGUCCGGGCGUUAUCCGGAUUUAUUGGGUUUAAAGGGAGCGUAGGCCGGAGAUUAAGCGUGUUGUGAAAUGUAGAUGCUCAACAUCUGCACUGCAGCGCGAACUGGUUUCCUUGAGUACGCAUAAAGUGGGCGGAAUUCGUGGUGUAGCGGUGAAAUGCUUAGAUAUCACGAAGAACUCCGAUUGCGAAGGCAGCUCACUGGGGCGCAACUGACGCUGAAGCUCGAAAGCGCGGGUAUCGAACAGGAUUAGAUACCCUGGUAGUCCGCGCGGUAAACGAUGGAUGCCCGCUGUUGGGCCAACUGGUUCAGCGGCCAAGCGAAAGCAUUAAGCAUCCCACCUGGGGAGUAC